GGUUGCGUAGCUCAGCCCGGUUAGAGCAUUCGAUUGCAGAUCGAAGGGUCGCUGGUUCGAAUCCGGCCGUAACCU